GCUUGGAUGGCUCAGUUGGUUAGAGCGCAGGUCUCAUACAGUUGUAUGACCGCAGAAUGUGGGCAAUCCUGAGGUCGUGAGUUCGAUCCUCACUCCGAGCA
rnacentral:tRNA from 2 species